rnacentral:rRNA from 1 species
UGGCUCAGAACGAACGCUGGCGGCAGGCCUAACACAUGCAAGUCGAGCGGCCGUAGCAAUACGGCAGCGGCAGACGGGAGAGUAACACGUGGGAACGUGCCCUUCGGUUCGGAAUAACGCAGGGAAACUUGCGCUAAUACCGGAUACGCCCUUACGGGGAAAGAUUUAUUGCCGAAGGAGCGGCCCGCGUCUGAUUAGCUAGUUGGUGAGGUAACGUCUCUCCAAGGCGACGGUCAAAUAGCUGGUCUGAGAGGAUGACCAGCCUCACUGGGACUUUUUCUCUGCCCAGACGAAUACGGGAGGCA